rnacentral:tRNA from 1 species
ACUAUAUUGGCAGAAGUAUGUGAUAGGGUUAGGUCCUAGUAAAGAGAUUAUUUAUUCUCAUGUAGUA